UUUUGAUAUUCAAAAAAUACCAAAAUAUUUUCUUAACCUCUUUGAAUGAUGAUGGAUUUAUAAAAAAUAUUCUCAUCAACUUAUUAAUUGAUUUGAGAUUUAUUUGAGAUUUUAGUUCAAUUAAGUUAUUUUUAUGCAUUUUUAAUUGAUUUAAAAUAGUUUCUGACUUCUAAAAAUGCUGAAAUUUUUUGUCAAACUUUG
rnacentral:lncRNA from 1 species